AUUGAACCCAGGAAGUACUGAGAUACACCUGCAGCCCUCCCCCCUUAAUUUACUUUGAGCCAGGGUUUUGCUAAGUGCCCACUCUGGCCUCGAAUUUGCUAUCCUCCUGCUCCAGCCUCUCAAGAAGCUGGGAUUCCAGGCAUACAUGCCUCACGCCUGGCCGCCUUUAGCAUGAUUUCUGUCUUAGCAGUGUAUAUUGUCUGUGCUCUAAUUCGUCAGUUCUGUAAUGGUGGUUGUUCUAGUCCUAGCUCUUGAUUUCACUUUCCAUUUCAGUCUCCUGGCUUGCCAUCUCUUCUGUGAGCUGCAUGUUUUGGUCUCGCAUCUUCUCUAAGUAGUCUCAUAUCACACACACUUAUGGGAGACCCUUCAGUGACGGCACUGGCUUUCUUUAAUACAGGACUGUGACUUUAUGAUGGCAACAGACCUCGGCUGCUCUUGCUGGAGCACAGCAGUGCUUGUCAUGUCCAGAGAGCCUCCCUUCGCAUUUCCUCCUGGAGCAGGGAAGGGACAGAUGUCACCUCCACAGAGCCAUGGCAGUGAGCAAGGGGAAGUGACCGGCCUGGCUGACCUCUUCCAUACUCACCUGCUCCACAGGGAGUAUAAGAAGUUGGUUGUGACACCUGAAUGACAUAAUGGCAAAGUUUAAGCAACCUUCUUGGACCGUGAGUUAAUCUGGAAGACAGAAGAUGCAUUGUGAGGAUAGCAAAGGAAAUUCACUGAGGAAACCUGGCUUCUGACUUCAUGGAGUAGCAGUUUAUGAUCAUUGUGCAGCCUUGAGGAAACUGGUCCCAACAUUUUGUUUUUUAAUUUCUAGGUUUCAAGAAAGUGGUUAAAUCAAAGAAGUAAAAAUGUACAGCAUGUUACAUGUUAAUGAGGCUGGAUUUAGUAAAAUGGGCAGUAAAAAGGUUGAAAAUGGGGUAACAUCACAUAGCGAAAUGCUGAUUACUGAGAAACUGGCUUCCUGUGCUCAUUCAGUAAUGCUCGUUCUUGAUGCUCAGCUUUUGUUGGGAAAGAGAAGCCUUGAAACUCAGUAUAAAAUCUUUACAAGAAUAUUCAGAGCAUGCAUAUGAAACUGUGGCUAGUAUAAGUGAACUUGAUCACUAUAUGAGCAAAAAGUGUACAUUUUAAAAUAUACUUCCACCAAAACAAACUGGGGUUUAGGGAGAAAAUACACAAAAUGAACUGGAGCAUUUUGUGAUAUCAGAUCAUUAGAAAUUACCAGACACUGCCUGAAGCUUGUCAGAGGGAGUUCAGAGCCAUUUGCAAGUAAAUUCUCACUUGCCUAAGAUGGGUUGUCCUGGCUUGUGUUUAGAUGUCUCCCCAAAGCCUCAUUGGGUCAUAGGUGGGGCUUUUCAGAGAUGGCUGGAUCUAGAGUGUGUGACGCUGGGAUUGAUGAGAGCAGUAAUAACUAUUAUUAGCAAUGCUAGGCACAAAGGCACUAGGAUUAAGAGUCGGAGUGCUACCCACCUUAGGUAGCCUCGGUAAGAUAAAAGGGAUAGAAAGAUCUGUGGUGGUCCCUUGUUGCUUUUCCUGUCUGCUGCAUGCCCCUCUGCCUUGGAGCCAGCCAACUGUGACCUGAAACCUCUACAGUAAGCCAAAAAAAACCCUUUCCUCCCUUAACUUUUGCAUGUCAGGUAUUUUGUCUCAGCAGUAAGAGAAAAGUAACUAACAGAAUUUGGUACUAGAGAAUUGAGGUCCUUGCUGUGAGUAUAUCUAACCAUGUGGUUCAGAAACCUUUGGGACUGGCUUUUGGGAAGAGUUGUGAAAGGUUCGGAGACACUUUUUAAAAAGUACAGUUGGAGCACCUUAGGCUGAACUUGAUGGCAGAUUCUGGUCAGAGCUUAGAAUACCAGAAAACUGAUAGAAAUGCCAGUAAAGACCAAGCUCAGGAGGUUUCUGCUGGAAAGAAAGACUGUAUUGACUGUUGGACUCCAGAUGAUGUGUGCUAUGGCUUGGCAGAAAGUUUGUCUGCAUUUUGCUCAUGUCCAGAUACUUUGCCUGAGACUGAGAUUAAGGGUGUUGGACUAAUUAAUCUGGCAGAAGAAAUCUCAAGACAGUCUAAUUUUGAGGUGGUGGCAUGGCAACUGUUGGGGGCUUUUAGCCAGAUUUAUGUUGAGAAUCCAGAGCAAAGAGCCCAGCAGAAUGAUUUAAAAUGUUUUGAGUUUGGCCAGAAAAGAAGCUCUGAGUGAAGUUUUAGCCUGCAGAAAUGGAGCAGAAAUCUUGUUGCUGAGAAAGGAACAGGAGAAUAGAAAAGAUGGCCUGAGAUCUUCACAAGGAGCAGCAGGACUCCACCCCUUUGCAGCCUCAAAAUUGCAAAAGUGAAAGACUGCCUUGAAAAGACAGCCCCAGAACACUAUGUUCCAUAGUGGCAUCGGCCUAGAGAAUUUGUUCCUUUGAAUUGGGUUCAGAGUGCUCAGUGAUCCAGGCACACCACCCCUACAGCCAAGAGAGACAGAAGUCUGGCUACUGCUCCAACUGGCAGUAGACUACUGGCAUCAUCCAUAACGUGCUAGUUUUAGGAACAUGCGGAAUGCCGGAGUUGUGGGGACAAGAAGGCUUCCACUCAGAUUUCAGAAGAAGGCCUGGAAGGCCAGGCAGUGUGCCUCUGAGAGUGCAGCUGUGAGUGUGAAGUCAGAGGUGUAGUGGAGACCCCAGAAGUUUGGAGAAUCCAGGAAUAUGGAUGAUCUCUGGAAAACUGCAAAGAGGGAGCAGAGCCGGCCAAUGAGAGAAGCCAUGGGAGCUACAACCACAAGGAGUGCUAUAGAGGCGGAGCCACCCAAGCCCUUUGAAGUUCACACCUUGCCCCAGAUUGCCAUGGAUGCUGGAAGUGGAACUAUGGGAUUUGUUUGCCCUGCUGAUUUUGGACUUGCUUUGGUCCCAUUCCUUUGUAUCCCCCGUUUGUAACUUUUGGAAUAGAAAUGUCUGUCUUGUGCCAUUGAAUGUUGGCAGUGUCUAACUUCCUUUUCAUGUGUUCAGGGUCUGUCUUGUAGCUAAGAGUUUGCCUUCAAUCUCAGAAGAGACCUUGGACUUGGUCUUUUCAGCAGUGCUGAAACUGUUAGGACUUUGGCAACUCUUAGAGAUGGACUAAAUGCCUUUUGAAUAAAGAGAUGUAACGUGAGUCUUUGGGGGCCAGGGGCAGAAUAUUAUGGCCUGUGUUUAGAUGUCCCCCAAAGCCUCACGGGGUCAUAGGUUGGGCUUUUCAGAGGUGGCUGAAUCUGGAGUGUGUCAUGCUGGGAUUGAUUCAUGGAGCAAUGCUAGGCUCCGGGGCACUAGGAUUAAGAGUGUGAGUUCCACCUGCCUUAGGUAGCCUCGAUAAGCUGUAAGGGAUAGAAAGAUCUGUGGUGGUCCCUUGUUGUUUUUCCUGUCUGGUGCAUGCUACUCUGCCUUGGAGACAACUGUGGACUGAAAUGUCUACGAACUGUAAGCCAAAUAAACCUUUCGUCCCAUUUAGAGUGUUUUCAUGUUACUUUGUGACUUCAGAUUGUUGUUCAGGCUAUUUCCUUGAAUGCCAAAGAGAAUUUGUUUUGGUGAACUGUUUUAGGAUAAUUACAGUUCUGUUCACCUUUC
ensembl:lncRNA